rnacentral:rRNA from 1 species
UGGGGAAUAUUGGACAAUGGGGGCAACCCUGAUCCAGCAAUGCCGCGUGUGUGAAGAAGGUUUUCGGAUUGUAAAGCACUUUCGGCGGGGACGAUGAUGACGGUACCCGCAGAGGAAGCCCCGGCUAACUUCGUGCCAGCAGCCGCGGUAAUACGAAGGGGGCUAGCGUUGCUCGGAAUGACUGGGCGUAAAGGGCGUGUAGGCGGUUUGUACAGUCAGAUGUGAAAUCCCCGGGCUUAACCUGGGAGCUGCAUUUGAUACGUGCAGACUAGAGUGUGAGAGAGGGUUGUGGAAUUCCCAGUGUAGAGGUGAAAUUCGUAGAUAUUGGGAAGAACACCGGUGGCGAAGGCGGCAACCUGGCUCAUGACUGACGCUGAGGCGCGAAAGCGUGGGGAGCAAACAGGAUUAGAUACCCUGGUAGUCCACGCUGUAAACGAUGUGUGCUGGAUGUUGGGCCAACUUAGUUGUUCAGUGUCGUAGCUAACGCGAUAAGCACACCGCCUGGGGAGUACGGCCGCAAGGUUGAAAC